AGGGCCACUCCCUCUCCAAUAAAUUAAGAUUGAGCAUGGCAUCUCACCCUGAGGAGUGGACUCCAACAAGAUAGCUCAUGUACCAGCUACUGGCCUCUACUAAUGCCCACACAUCCACCACUGACUUUGAACAAGUUGUCCUAACUGGACUAGCUGGAGAUAAACUUAAAGAAGACUGCUGAACCUUGCCAAGUCAUGGUAGUAUGAACAAGUUGCCAAGUCAUAAUUUCAUGGAUAAAAAUGCUACCAACAAAACUCUUCAACCUAUUUCCUGAAAAUCACAUACUUAUGAAGAUAUAGAUCAUAAGGAAGAUGUAUAUGGAAUUAUUUAAAAUUUACUGAGUACUGCUGUGCACUAUGGAGAAUAAAAUAUGGCCUAAAUAUUUGUGGUAUUGGGAACAAAGAGACUGCAAGUUCAAGAAGGUAGCCUGCAAAAAUUAUUUUGAAUUAGGCUUCUAACUAACAAUCCAAUAAGUCUUUUUAUUAACAGCUUCCAUGUAAUGUAAUUGCUUCAUCAUUUUUGUUGCAUAACCUCCUUCUAAUUUAAAUGUUCCACAUUCCCAGUAUAUUUCCAUUGAAAACAUUAUUCUGUGAGACUCAAAACAUAAGAAUUCAUUCUACUUGGUAUUUCAUCUUCUUUGCUUUUAAGUUGUUUUUAAUUUCUCUUUAAGUGUUGAUUCUGUGUCUGUGGGUGAGUCUCCAGGUAUGUUUGUAAAUGUAAGUCAAAUGCCAUUAGACCCAGAAGGGAACAUUGGGUCCUUUGGAUCUGGAGUUACAAUUAGGACUUGCUUGAUAUGUGUGCUGGGAUCUGAACUCUGGUACUCUGAAGGGCAAGAGGCUUUGCACCACUGAACCACAUUUCCAUCCCAUAAAAAUGCUCACACACACACAUACACACACACACACACACACACACACACACACACACACACAAACACCGGCACUUAAUGUUGCUCCAAUCACUUAAAUUCACACCCUUCAUUUUAAUACAUACUAAUAGUUUGCAAUACUAUCCAACAAUAUUCAUGUUUAUUUUAUUAACCUCUGGCACAGUAUUAUUUACUACCAAAAAAUCCUCUACUUAUAAAGACCCAAAUCUCAGAGGCUUAUAACAACAAACUCAUAAUGUACAGUCACAGGUAGCAGACCUUUCAAUACAUGGGGGACAUAAGAGCAUGACACAGAACCAAUAACAGAUAAUGUAUCAUUUCUUGCAGAAAUUCUUCAGUCAGUGGAAAUCAACAAUAUCAAGCUUAACAAAAUAGAGAC